rnacentral:lncRNA from 1 species
GAAGAAAGCGAAGUAGCCUCCAGUCAAGCGAGGAGGCCGGCUCUUCCGCAGCCAUAGCCACCUCAACGAUUUGGGAGGUAGCGAAGGGCAGGGAGCUGGACCCUGAGGUGCCGCCGCGACUGCAGCAGCCAUGGAGGACGAGAUGCCCAAGACUCUAUACGUCGGUAACCUUUCUCGAGAUGUGACAGAAGCUCUCAUCCUCCAGCUCUUUAGCCAGAUCGGACCUUGUAAAAACUGCAAAAUGAUUAUGGAUCCAGGUGUCAUAGUAUAUGCCUGUCAUCUCAGAACUCAGUAGCAGGGAACGGGAUCACUGUUGGAGGCCGCUCUAAUCUACAUACAGACGGCAGGAAAUGACCCGUACUGUUUCGUGGAGUUCCAUGAGCAUCGCCACGCAGCUGCAGCCCUGGCUGCUAUGAAUGGGCGGAAGAUAAUGGGUAAGGAAGUGAAAGUGAAUUGGGCAACAACCCCUAGCAGUCAAAAGAAAGAUACAAGCAGUAGUACCGUUGUCAGCACACAGCGUUCACAAGGUAAUUGUAUCUUCUUAAACAUAAAAUGAACUCUCUUGAAAGGGUAUUCACUAACCACCUCAAGUUUUUUAAUUUGAUAUUGGUUGGGGGGAGUGGGGCGGAAAUAUAUAGUAUUUUUAUUUGUUUCUGGCAAUAUUUUUUCCUUCUUCCCAAUGUUGACCAAGUGUGGCUUGUCCACGACUUUGUUGCUAGUUCAAGCUCUCUGUCCCC